CAAAACGGUGCUUGGUUCUGUCCUAACAGCAGUCCAGGAAGUGGGAACCGGCUGAAGCAGCCUGGGGGCAAGUGAGCUUGCACCUGGCUGUGAUGCCUCCCACCUGGGCUCAAAGCCCCAGUGCGCGGGGGGAUCCCUGGGGCUCCUGCUAGCAGGGAGGAAGAUUCAAAUAAUGAUCUAUGAAGAGACAGAAAUUCAAGUUACGGGGCUGUCACUUGAAGACCCUACUGCUUGGCUUCUUAGCCCGCGUAUCGGUUAUUUAGCCGCACGUUUGGUUCUGAGCAUCAGAAACUUGAAUCUGCUGCUUGGUUUUUGCUUCUCUAACGGGAGAUUCGGAGGGCUUCUGUGGAGCUUUAGCUUUUGCUGAAAGCUGAAGGGGCUGUUACAGGCGCUAACAAGGACCCUGCAUGUCCGUGUUCAUCCGUCGCCGAGCUGCAAGGACACAGGUGGGCCUGGCCCAGCACCUGGCCCUGGACGCGCCGUGUGCGCUAGGCUGGCGCCAGACAGGAC
rnacentral:lncRNA from 1 species